rnacentral:rRNA from 1 species
AAACUUAAAUGAAUUGACGGGGGCCCGCACAAGCGGCGGAGCAUGCGGAUUAAUUCGAUGCAACGCGAAGAACCUUACCUGGGUUUGACAUAUACCGGAAACAUCUGGAGACAGGUGCCCCGCAAGGUCGGUAUACAGGUGGUGCAUGGCUGUCGUCAGCUCGUGUCGUGAGAUGUUGGGUUAAGUCCCGCAACGAGCGCAACCCUCGUUCUAUGUUGCCAGCGGUUCGGCCGGGAACUCAUAGAAGACUGCCGGGGUCAACUCGGAGGAAGGUGGGGAUGACGUCAAGUCAUCAUGCCCCUUAUGUCCAGGGCUUCACGCAUGCUACAAUGGCUGGUACAAAGGGCUGCAAUACCGCAAGGUGGAGCGAAUCCCAUAAAGCCAGUCUCGGUUCGGAUUGGGGUCUGCAACUCGACCCCAUGAAGUCGGAGUCGCUAGUAAUCGCAGAUCAGCAACGCUGCGGUGAAUACGUUCCCGGGCCUUGUACACACCGCCCGUCAAGUCAUGAAAGUCGGUAACACCCGAAGCCGGUGGCCUAACCCUUGUGGAGGGAGCCGUCGAAGGUGGGACCGGUAAUUAGGACUAAGUCGUAACAAGGUAGCCGUACCGGAAGGUGCGGCUGGAUCACCUCCUUUCUG